GUUCUUGUAGCGCAGUGGAUAGCUCGUUGGACUUGUUCUCCAAAGGUCGUGGGUUCGAAUUCCACCUGGGAUG